rnacentral:rRNA from 1 species
CCUACGGGGGGCAGCAGUGGGGAAUAUUGCACAAUGGGGGAAACCCUGAUGCAGCAACGCCGCGUGCGCGAAGAAGGCCUUCGGGUCGUAAAGCUCUGUCCUAAGGGAAGAAGCAUGACGGUACCUUAGGAGGAAGCCCCGGCUAACUACGUGCCAGCAGCCGCGGUAAUACGUAGGGGGCGAGCGUUAUCCGGACUCACUGGGCGUAAAGGGUGCGUAGGCGGCCGAUUAAGCCAGGGGUGAAAGGCGACGGCUCCACCGUAGUAAGCGCUUGGAACUGAUUGGCUUGAGUGGAGGGGAGGAGAGUGGCAUUCCUAGUUCUGCGGUGUAACGCGUGGAUAGUAGGAGCAACGGCAGUGGCGAAGGCGACUCUCUGGACUUUAACUUGAGCUUGGGGAAGAAAACGUGGGGAGCAAACAGGAGUAGAUACCCUAGUAGUC